UGGGGAAUAUUGGUCAAUGGGCGGGAGCCUGAACCAGCCAAGCCGCGUGAGGGAGGAAGGCCCUAUGGGUCGUAAACCUCUUUUGUCAGGGAACAAAAGCGAGUAUGUAUACUAGUCUGAGUGUACCUGAAGAAAAAGCAUCGGCUAACUCCGUGCCAGCAGCCGCGGUAAUACGGAGGAUGCGAGCGUUAUCCGGAUUUAUUGGGUUUAAAGGGUGCGUAGGCGGCGGUGCAAGUCAGCGGUAAAAGCCCGGGGCUCAACCCCGGCGAGCCGUUGAAACUGCAGUGCUAGAGAAGGCGAGAGGUACGCGGAAUGCGCAGUGUAGCGGUGAAAUGCUUAGAUAUUGCGCAGAACUCCGAUUGCGAAGGCAGCGUACUGGCGCCUGACUGACGCUGAGGCACGAAAGCGUGGGGAUCGAACAGGAUUAGAUACCC
rnacentral:rRNA from 1 species